rnacentral:rRNA from 1 species
UACGGGAGGCAGCAGUGGGGAAUAUUGCACAAUGGGCGCAAGCCUGAUGCAGCCAUGCCGCGUGUAUGAAGAAGGCCUUCGGGUUGUAAAGUACUUUCAGUCGUGAGGAAGGUGUUAAGGUUAAUAACCUUAGCAAUUGACGUUAGCGACAGAAGAAGCACCGGCUAACUCCGUGCCAGCAGCCGCGGUAAUACGGAGGGUGCGAGCGUUAAUCGGAAUUACUGGGCGUAAAGGGCACGCAGGCGGUUAAUUAAGUUGGAUGUGAAAUCCCCGGGCUUAACCUGGGAAUGGCAUUCAAGACUGGUUAGCUAGAGUCUUGUAGAGGGGGUAGAAUUCCAUGUGUAGCGGUGAAAUGCGUGGAGAUGUGGAGGAAUACCGGUGGCGAAGGCGGCCCCUGGGACAAAGGACUGACGCUCAUGUGCGAAAGCGUGGGGAGCAAACAGGGAUUAGAUACC